rnacentral:lncRNA from 1 species
CUCUGUCUGUCAGUGUCUGUUCAGUUCUUUGCUGUUGUUUUGGAUUGUGGUUUGUUACUGCAUCUGAGCAAUUUAAGCAAAUUAUCUGGUCAUUUUUACGUUGAGUCGAGGAACUGCUCCUCCGUACUCUAUCUGUUGAUAGUACUUUCGCGAAAGGACGCUUUAUUACUUGUAAAUGACGAGUUUGCAAUGCAUCAAUUGCAACGUUAGCUUGUCGCGAAUACGAAGGCACGCUUUAUCCGAUGAGAGUGAAGAUAUCGUCAAUACUAUUCGGCUGUGGACAUAUCCUAGAGAUAUAACACCUGCUGACCAUGUUUGCCGCACGGAACAAAUAUUU